GACGAACGCUGGCGGCGUGCUUAACACAUGCAAGUCGAACGGAAAGGCCCUGCUUUUGUGGGGUGCUCGAGUGGCGAACGGGUGAGUAACACGUGAGUAACCUGCCCUUGACUUUGGGAUAACUUCAGGAAACUGGGGCUAAUACCGGAUAGGUGCUCCUGCUGCAUGGUGGGGGUUGGAAAGUUUCGGCGGUUGGGGAUGGACUCGCGGCUUAGCCGCUUGUUGGUGGGGUAGUGGCUUACCAAGGCUUUGACGGGUAGCCGGCCUGAGAGGGUGACCGGCCACAGUGGGACUGAGAUACGGCCCAGACUCCUACGGGAGGCAGCAGUGGGGAAUAUUGCACAAUGGGCGGAAGCCUGAUGCAGCAACGCCGCGUGCGGGAUGACGGCCUUCGGGUUGUAAACCGCUUUCGCCUGUGACGAAGCGUGAGUGACGGUAAUGGGUAAAGAAGCACCGGCUAACUACGUG
rnacentral:rRNA from 1 species